CGCUCGCUAGAGAAGAAGGCCAAAUUGAAUUCAAAGAGUACUGGGUGCUCCUCUAUCACUUCACCGCAAAAAGGAUGCAGACAAAUAAACAAGAAUCCAAUAUGUCUUCCCCACAAAAGAAAACGACGUACGACGUCCCAUCUUCUUUUUAUUUUCUUCCCCUCAACCUGUACAAACAAGGAAUCACCUAAUAGUAAUAAUCUAAUGAUAAUAAUAAUCAGCCUAGCUAUUUUUCUCCUAAUUAAUCCNNNNNNNNNNNNAUUUUAAUUAUUAGCUAAUCACAUAUGUUCUAUUUCUACAGCGAUUAAACAACACCUUUACAGCUCCUGCCCCACCCCAUAUGCACAACAUAUUCUUCAAGCAACACUAAUGACGCUGUCUCCACCUGACAUGGCCUGAAAAGUUGAAGAGUGUGUCGCUGUCGCUGUCGCUGUCGUUGCCGCCGGCGACUGCUCUUCUGAGGAAGGAGUAGAGAGCUUCAGUGACAGUGGUACGGGUUCUAUGGUAGGACUCUUCUGGUUCAAGUUAAGAUCAGCCAUUUUUGAAGAUGGAGGAAC
rnacentral:misc_RNA from 1 species